CAAGCCGCGUCUGCGACCUACACCGCAGCUCAUGGCAACACUGGAUCCUUAACCAGCUGAGAUGGACCUCUAAAGACUCAUGUUGUCUGAGGGAAAAGCCUGAAAGAGAAGGAAGAGGAAAGACAAGGAGUCGGGAAUGGCUGUUUCUCAGGCAGUUGACCUUGGAGGAUGUGACCUUGGGGGACGUGGCCAUCGAGUUCUCUCCAGAGGAGUGGGCCUGCCUGGACCCUGCCCAGAGGGCCUUGUACAGGGACGUGAUGCUGGAGACCUGCAGGAACCUGCUCUCCCUGGGUGGCUACGUUUCUCAUUCUGGGAGAAAUGGCCUUUUUCAGGAGAUGUCCUGUGCAUCCCAGCGGCGCACUGCCUUCUGAUCACCGGAGCUGCACAUUCCACGUGUGCCGCCUGCCUCCGUGGGUGGCCUGGGUCCUUCUGUUGUAGCAGGACGGCUACCACGCAGUCCGGUGAGCAUGGCUGGCCCCCUGGGCUGGUUAGCUUUCAUCCCGGGGUGUUCCACAGGUGGAAGAGCCAGUUUCCAGGUGGCUGGUUGCAGGGCUGGGUUUCUGGGUCUAGUAUUGGCUUGCUUUUUCUGACACGGCUGGCUGUGGAGUUUGGGGUGGACCCAAAACUGGGGUCAGCCCACUUGUGAGGGAGACCUGAUCCCAGGGUGGCUGGCUCAGGGCCCAAAGUGUGUCAGAAGUGGUGUCAGCCUGCUGGUGGGUGGACUGGGUCUUGACACAGUCAAGCCAGGGCUGCCCUGGUCCUGGAGCUGGUGUCUGCAUGUUGGUGGGUGAGGUCUGGUUCCAAUCCAGUGGUGGAGAGGGCUGGGUACUGGGAUCUUUUUCUGCAGAGCCCAGGGGUCUGGAUCUCGUUCAGCCCACGGGUGGGCAGGGCUGUGGCCCAGGAGGUCCUGGGGUAGUGGGGGCUGCUGGUGUGUGAAGCUGGGUCGCCGUGUCUCUGGCGACGGUGCCCUGGACAUUCCAGGGUUGGCAGACCCCUGUAGGUGGGCAGGGCCAGGGCACCCGGGGUUCCCCAGCAAGUGCUGGCUCAUAGAUAGGCGGGGCCAGGUUCUGUGGGGCCCUGGGUGCCCUGAAGCAGGUGUUGUUGGCCCAGGGGUGGGAAGGGUUGGGACCUAGGCCCCAGAGUUUGUGUCAGCUCAUUGUUGGGCAGGGUCAGGUCCUGAUCCCAGUGGGUGGCUGUGGGGCCCUGGAGUCCUGGGUCAGUGCUGGCACACUGGUGGGAGGGGCCAGGACCUGAGUCCUCAGGUGGUGAGGCUGGCUCCCGGGAGAUAUGGGGCCAGGGAUUGAACCCGUGCCACAGCAGCGGGGGAAGCUUCUUACAUGGUACUUACCAGCACCAGUGUCCUCGUGGCAGCAUGCGCUCUCAAAACAGAGCCACCAUCUGUGUCCCCAAAGCGAGCGCCAGUUGUCACCUGCUUCUCAAGAGGCUCUCCACGAUCAGCAGGUGGGUCUGACUCACGCGCCUUUCGAGGUCCUGCUUCCUCCCUCAGUCUGGGCGCCUCUGGGACCGUGUGCGCCCCUGACACUGGAGUCUGUUUGCUAGAGCUAUCGGGGUCUCCUCAGAGGAAGCCCUGCUGGCCUCCAAAGCCCGAGGCUUUGGGUCUGGGUUCCCAGAUCGGGACCCCUGGCUGGAGAGUCCAGAGUGGAGGGGGGACCCCGGCUCCUUAGGGAGAACCUCCACAGCUGUAAGAAUCUCCCGCCGUGGGUCCCCCACCCUGGGGGAUGGCUCUUCACGACAGGCCUCUCUGCCCUUCCUGUCAGGUUGUCACUUCCUACUCGCACCUUUAUUUGCAGAGCAUUUUUCUGCUCGUCUUCGUGCUCUUCAGCAGCUGCUGUGUGAAAAGCUCUAAGGUUGGUGCACCCACGGGAGGGGUCUUCCUACAGAGUGAGUACUUCCUUUUUUUUUUUUUUUAAUGUAAUUUUAUUGGCGUGUAGUUAUUUACCAUGUCGUGUUAAUUUCAGGUGUACAGCAAAGUGAAUCAGCUGUACAUAUAAACAUAGCCAUUCUUUUUGCCCAUGCAGGUGAUUACAGGACAUGGAGCAGAUUUAUUUCCCGUGCUAGGCAGCAGGUUCUUGUUAUCUGUUUUACGCAGCAGUGUGUGUCUGUCAUUCCCCCCCCCCAUCCUUCUCGCUCCCCCCAGGAGUUACGUCACAUGGAACUGGUUAUUCCUGAGCAGGACCAGCCGAAAGCUCAGACAGGACGGGUGUGGUGGGAAACCCUCCGGCACCGCGCAGGGUGCAGGGUGGCUGGAGAUGCCCUGUAUGUGAGGAGAACCACAAACCCGUCCUGCAGCCAAUAAAAGCAGAUUCCCAAGAGAGGGAAACUGAAAGAGGAGGAGAGGCCUACUCCCGGGUGGCGGACAGACCCGUCCAGUCACACACAGUUCCUUCCUGGGACUUGACUCUCAUGGCCUGGCUGGCGCAGCGCCUUGCUCACGGCGUCCCUCUGACCAAGGCAGGUUUGCGGUGGCACCACUUCCUCGGCCCUUUCUCACGCAGGCUUGUUUGUGGGUGCCCAGCCUGUGGGGGCGCCUCCCGGCACAUCCCACUUGGCCUUGGCAGCUCCCGUGAGCCUGACGGCCCAGGCUUGAUCCUAAGCACACGGGUGAGGACCCCUUUUCCUCUUCAUGUGACUGAAACCAUCACAGAGAAAUACGCCUGGGGAUCUGAGUGGCAAGAUCACACAACCAUGCCUUGCAGCACCUUUAACCUCGCUCAUGUUGCGCGUGAGGAUUCAUGAUCCAGGGCUUCAGCGUCUUUGUUGUUUUCAGCCUCUUUAGAUGCACGCAGUGGCUCCAGCGCAUUCACAGACCAGCGCGUCCUCCAGAACGUCCCUCAGCCGGGGCGGGGGGUACCUGAAGCAGCCUCCUCUUGGUAAGCACUUGGGUAUCUGCACGCACCUUCUCUUCCUGACGAUCCUGUGGGUCACCCUCUCCCCCAAUCCAUUCCUGUUUCCUAAGCAGUGACCCCGUCGUGUGCAGGGUCAUCUGACUCCCUAAAAACAGCAAGGUACGUCUUUUAUGUGUCUUGGAACAGCGUGUGGUCAUUUGUUCUUUCCCUACGGAAUCUAAGCACUGGAAGGGACAGGCGUGUAACAGAGAGGGUGUGAAAACCAGCUCUGACCUAAUAGAAUUCACGACAUGGGCAGAGCAGACGCUAAACUAAAUGCUGUGUGCACUGCUUCUGUAACUUCCACUGCAGAAGAAAAGUCUGGAGUCUAAGAAGUCACUUAAAAUUGGGGUCUCUAAUACCUUGUAGCUAACGGAAACUUAGAAGUAACUUUAAAUCUGAGAAUUAACUGGGGAGAGAAGUGGGAGAAUAACUGAGUAACGAGGGAAGCCCGUGUGAUGAUGAAGGAACAGGAGGAGGAACCACCCUGGUUCCGGAGCAAGAGACCCUGGACGCAGCUGGAGAUGAGACCCGUGUCACACUCCGAAGGACACUGGAGGCCAGGGUUUGUGGCCUCAACCCCCGAGAGGAAAGGUAGUGAGCCAAAGUACAUGACUGUGUGGCGUAGAGGGGAGCUUAUUUAAAAUACUUACAGGUAAAAAUGGGCAGAUCUGGUCUGGGGGCAAACUCGCACUGGAAGCAAGACGUCAGAAGCUUUUCCUAAUAAUUCAAGUCAGAGCUGAUGAAUUUGAGUCUGGGGGGGAAAAAAAGAAUUUUGGGAUUUCUAGAAGGUAGGAUGUCCUCUGUCAAGUAAUGGUCCCAAUUAGCCUGUUGGGAAGAGAGAGGCUUCUGCGUGGACUCCUGUGUCCCCAGCAUGGGGCAGUGAGUUAUGGGGUUGGGGGGGCUGCUGAGGAAGAGGCGGCUUCAAGAUCACAGAACAGCUGGAUUGAUGGAGGAGUGUCACCCCGCCUCCCGAAUAUCCAGUGGUAUACAGUUCACAGAAUCAAAAGUAAACCAGACACCCCCUCACCCGUAGUACAAAGCGAUGUCAGGAAUUUCACUUAUUGAUAAUGCACAUGAAAUUUAUUCAGCGAGCCUCUGUUUUUCCAGUUGGCACCUGUGCUUUGCUGUCUUCAGGUCCAGCUUCUCCGCACGCGGGUUUCAGGGACCGCAGGAAAAAGGUGACACUGCAGUACUUCCAGAACAGACCUGAGCCAUCCAAGCGGCUGUUACAGAUGGGACGUAAGUCUCCCCCAGAAGAGCCUGAAGAAAAUCUGCACUAGGCGAGUGGGGGGAGGGAGAAGUUUCAGGCCUUGGGGCUACCUUUCUUCAGCGCGGGUUCGUCCAACCUCGUCAGUCCCCCUACCUCACUCCCAUCCUGCUGGUGCAGAUCCCAGGGCUGGGGACCAGCAUCGGGGACGGGCUCUGAAAGCCAGGGCCAACCCGAAGAGGAUGUACCUGCGGUGGUGCCACAUCUUUAUCUGGAGGCUUGUGCUGGGGUCUAGGGACACUGCUGGGUGGUAUCUCCACAGGGGUUUAAAGAUGCCCCCACUAACUCUGGGGGGUCUUAGCCAAGGACCUAAAAGACCCUCAGUUAAACAAAGGAGUCUUGUUCCAGCAGGUAGUUGAUACUUUAUCAGUAAAACUACGGAAGCUUCAGACCAAAAUACAAUCCUCAUUUUAAAUUUUCUGUAGACUGAGGACACAUGUCUCCAAGAGAAAGGCACACGUUUCUCAACCAACUGUAACAUAUCUAGGACUUGAGUUACCAAAAUGCCAAACUUAGGCAGGAUCUAAAAGAAGCGAGGGUGGGGGCUGCACGUACCUCCAGAAGGCAGUGGAGGAUGCUUAGGAAAUGCUGGAUGAAGCUCUUCAAGGCAAUGACAGUGAGCCAUGAAGCUGGACGCAGAUGCCAUGAUGUGUUCCCUCCCACCAAGGAGAAACUCUGAACAGCCCUAGCACGUGGGCUCGCUGAUGGGGCAUGAAAGACAGGGCAGGAGUCUGGAAGUGCUCACUCAAGACCGAGGCACAGUAGGCCAGUCGCUUACCUUUCCAAACAGCUGGACAUCGUAACUCAGGGACAGACAGUAAGCCUCCAGGCUGUGGCCGAAACCUGUGACAUUUCACCCUGGGCCAUCCUACCCAGUCCACUCCGUGCACAUUCCACACUGUGGGCCCCCUUUACAUGAAUGAAAGUACAGGCUAAAUUUGGGAAUGCGGGGUAAAUACCUGGCCUCGCUACUUGACAACACGAAUGUAAAAUGAAAGGCUGUAUCCAUCUAAACCCAGUCACUAGAACAGGAGAACCCGUCCACAACUCUGUACAAAUUACUGACGAGGUCUAUUCUAGCAGGUCCCACCUGAGAGACAGCCUUUGGAAAACAGUCCAGGUAUGGAAAUGCUCGUGGGUAAGAGCAGCUUCAAGGACCAAGAACUUCAAGGCUGGGUGUGCGAUAGUCACUCAUCAGGAAGUGCCAGAAGCAGAAGGCAGCCCUCACAAGAGCCCUGUACCUUGGAGCUAAGAAAAAGGAGCCGUGGGAAACUGUGGACACCUUCACAGCAUGAGUUGACGCUUUUCGAUGCAGGACAGAGAAGGCUUCUGAGUAACAGGAUAAAUUCUUACUGAAAUAAUCAGCCAAAGCACCCCCGAGGAGGAAAAAGUGGAGCUGGAGGAAUCAGGCUCUGUGAGUUCAGACUAUACUACAAAGCUGUAGUUAUCAACAGGGUUGUACUGGCCCCCAGACAAACACAGAUCAAUGACACAAGAUAGAAGGCUCAGAAAUAAACAUAGCCAUCGAUGGUUAACUAAUCUAAGGCAAAGGAGGCCAGAGUAUACAAUGGCGAAAAGGCAGUCUCUUUAAAAAAUGGUGCUGGGCUAACUGGACAGCUACAUGAAAAAGAGUGAAACUGGAACAUACCUAACACUGUACACACCCAAAACACCUCAAAAUGGUUUAAAGAUCUAAACGCAUGGCCAGAUACCAUAAAUCUCUUAGAGGAAAACAGGCAGAACACUCUUUGACAUAAAUCCCAGCAAUAUCUUUUUGGAUCCACCUCCUAGAGUAAUGAAAAUAAUAAUAAUAAGAA